GUAAANUUNUUUUAUAAGGGAAUAAAGUGAGGGACGUGUCCCUUUUUGUAUGUACCUUAUGAAUAAGGAUCGGCUAACUCCGUGCCAGCAGCCGCGGUAAUACGGAGGAUCCAAGCGUUAUCCGGAUUUAUUGGGUUUAAAGGGAGCGUAGGUUGACAUAUAAGUCAGCUGUGAAAGUUUACGGCUCAACCGUGAAAUUGCAGUUGAUACUGUAUGUCUUGAGUGUACAAGAGGUGGGCGGAAUUCGUGGUGUAGCGGUGAAAUGCUUAGAUAUCACGAAGAACUCCAAUUGCGAAGGCAGCUCACUGGGGUACAACUGACACCGAGGCUCGAAAGUGUGGGUAUCAAACAGGAUUAGAUACCCUGGUAGUCCACACAGUAAACGAUGAAUACUCGCUGUUUGCGAUAUACAGUAAGCGGCCAAGCGAAAGCAUUAAGUAUUCCACCUGGGGAGUACGCCGGCAACGGUGAAACUCAAAGGAAUUGACGGGGGCCCGCACAAGCGGAGGAACAUGUGGUUUAAUUCGAUGAUACGCGAGGAACCUUACCCGGGCUUGAAUUGCAGAGGAAUAUAGUUGAAAGAUUAUAGCCGCAAGGUCUCUGUGAAGGUGCUGCAUGGUUGUCGUCAGCUCGUGCCGUGAGGUGUCGGCUUAAGUGCCAUAACGAGCGCAACCCUUAUCAUUAGUUACUAACAGGUCAUGCUGANGACUCUAGUGAGACUGCCGUCGUAAGAUGUGAGGAAGGUGGA
rnacentral:rRNA from 1 species